UAAGGGAGACCGAACCCAUCGAUAACUGAAAAUCAAAAUAGGUUUAGAUGAGGUCAACCUAGGUCGUGGCGAAGCAAGUGAGGCAAUUCAACUAUAAUUAAGGUUUGGGGGCUAUUAGCUCAGGUGGUUAGAGCGCACCCCUGAUAAGGGUGAGGUCCCUGGUUCGAGUCCAGGAUGGCCCACCUAAAGAAGCAACAAGCAAAAAACUUGUCGCCAUUCAAAGGGGGUUUAGCUCAGUUGGUAGAGCGCCUGCUUUGCAAGCAGGAUGUCAGCGGUUCGAGUCCGCUAACCUCCACCUGAAGCCGAGCAAUAAAUAGUUUAUUCAGCACCGUGACUAAGUUACUAAUAUUAGUCAGAAUGCUGGAUUAGUGUCCAGUCAGAACCUUGAAAACUGCAUAGAGAAAGCAAAUAGCAGGCAGAUCCAAAGAGGGUAAAACCUCAAUGUAUCUGACAAAAGAAACU
rnacentral:tRNA from 1 species